rnacentral:rRNA from 1 species
UAGGGAAUAUUGGACAAUGGGGGCAACCCUGAUCCAGCCAUGCCGCGUGAGUGAAGAAGGCCCUCGGGUUGUAAAGCUCUUUUGUCCGGAAAGAAAAGCAUUCGGUGAAUACCCGGAUGUUCUGACGGUACCGGAAGAAUAAGCACCGGCUAACUUCGUGCCAGCAGCCGCGGUAAUACGAAGGGUGCAAGCGUUACUCGGAAUUACUGGGCGUAAAGCGUGCGUAGGUGGUUGUUUAAGUCUGAUGUGAAAGCCCUGGGCUCAACCUGGGAAUGGCAUUGGAAACUGGGCAGCUAGAGUGCGGUAGAGGGUAGUGGAAUUCCCGGUGGAGCAGUGAAAUGCGUAGAGAUCGGGAGGAACAUCUGUGGCGAAGGCGACUGCCUGGACCAGCACUGACACUGAGGCACGAAAGCGUGGGGAGCAAACA